AGUGAACGCUGGCGGUAGGCCUAACACAUGCGAGUCGAACGGCAGCACGGUAAGAGCUUGCUCUUACGGGUGGCGAGUGGCGGACGGGUGAGGAAUACAUCGGAAUCUACUUUUUCGUGGGGGAUAACGUAGGGAAACUUACGCUAAUACCGCAUACGACCUACGGGUGAAAGCAGGGGAUCUUCGGACCUUGCGCGAUUGAAUGAGCCGAUGUCGGAUUAGCUAGUUGGCGGGGUAAAGGCCCACCAAGGCGACGAUCCGUAGCUGGUCUGAGAGGAUGAUCAGCCACACUGGAGCUGAGACACGGUCCAGACUCCUACGGGAGGCAGCAGUGGGGAAUAUUGGACAAUGGGCGCAAGCCUGAUCCAGCCAUACCGCGUGGGUGAAGAAGGCCUUCGGGUUGUAAAGCCCUUUUGUUGGGAAAGAAAAGCAGCAGGUUAAUACCCCGCUGUUCUGACGGUACCCAAAGAAUAAGCACCGGCUAACUUCGUG
rnacentral:rRNA from 1 species